rnacentral:rRNA from 1 species
GAAAUCUUACGACUGCCCGNUNAUGUCAUCUAAAAUGGUUCGUUGAUUUCNAUGGUCUCAGACUCGGACCCGCUGCNGUGUAGCAUGCCUAACACAUGCAAGUCGCACGAGAAAGUGGAGCAAUCCAUGAGUAAAGUGGCGCACGGGUGAGUAACACGUGAAUUAUCUACCUCCGAGUGGGGAAUAACCUGGAGAAAUCCGGGCUAAUACCGCAUAACACUUACGAGUCAAAGCAGCAAUGCGCUUGGAGAGGAGUUCGCGGCCGAUUAGUUAGUUGGUGGGGUAAUGGCCUACCAAGACGAUGAUCGGUAUCCGGCCUGAGAGGGCGCACGGACACACUGGAACUGAAACACGGUCCAGACUCCUACGGGAGGCAGCAGUGGGGAAUUUUGCGCAAUGGGGGAAACCCUAGACGCAGCAACGCCGCGUGGAGGAUGAAAUCCCUUGGGAUGUAAACUCCUUUCGAUCGGGACGAUUAUGACGGUACCGGAAGAAGAAGCCCCGGCUAACUUCGUGCCAGCAGCCGCGGUAAUACGAGGGGGGCAAGCGUUGUUCGGAAUUAU